rnacentral:rRNA from 1 species
GAUGAACGCUGGCGGCGUGCCUAAUACAUGCAAGUCGAGCGAACGGACGAGAAGCUUGCUUCUCUGAUGUUAGCGGCGGACGGGUGAGUAACACGUGGAUAACCUACCUAUAAGACUGGGAUAACUUCGGGAAACCGGAGCUAAUACCGGAUAAUAUUUUGAACCGCAUGGUUCAAAAGUGAAAGACGGUCUUGCUGUCACUUAUAGAUGGAUCCGCGCUGCAUUAGCUAGUUGGUAAGGUAACGGCUUACCAAGGCAACGAUGCAUAGCCGACCUGAGAGGGUGAUCGGCCACACUGGAGCUGAGACACGGUCCAGACUCCUACGGGAGGCAGCAGUAGGGAAUCGUCCGCAAUGGGCGAAAGCCUGACGGAGCAACGCCGCGUGAGUGAUGAAGGUCUUCGGAUCGUAAAACUCUGUUAUUAGGGAAGAACAUAUGUGUAAGUAACUGUGCACAUCUUGACGGUACCUAAUCAGAAAGCCACGGCUAACUACGUG